GAUGAACGCUGGCGGCGUGCCUAAUACAAGCAAGUCGAGCGAACGGACGAGAAGCUUGCUUCUCUGAUGUUAGCGGCGGACGGGUGAGUAACACGUGGAUAACCUACCUAUAAGACUGGGAUAACUUCGGGAAACCGGAGCUAAUACCGGAUAAUAUUUUGAACCGCAUGGUUCAAAAGUGAAAGACGGUCUUGCUGUCACUUAUAGAUGGAUCCGCGCUGCAUUAGCUAGUUGGUAAGGUAACGGCUUACCAAGGCAACGAUGCAUAGCCGACCUGAGAGGGUGAUCGGCCACACUGGAACUGAGACACGGUCCAGACUCCUACGGGAGGCAGCAGUAGGGAAUCUUCCGCAAUGGGCGAAAGCCUGACGGAGCAACGCCGCGUGAGUGAUGAAGGUCUUCGGAUCGUAAAACUCUGUUAUUAGGGAAGAACAUAUGUGUAAGUAACUGUGCACAUCUUGGCGGUACCUAAUCAGAAAGCCACGGCUAACUACGUG
rnacentral:rRNA from 1 species